UACGGAGGGGGUUAGCGUUGUUCGGAAUUACUGGGCGUAAAGCGCACGUAGGCGGAUUGGAAAGUUGGGGGUGAAAUCCCAGGGCUCAACCCUGGAACUGCCUCCAAAACUAACAGUCUAGAGUUCGAGAGAGGUGAGUGGAAUUCCAAGUGUAGAGGUGAAAUUUGUAGAUAUUUGGAGGAACACCAGUGGCGAAGGCGGCUCACUGGCUCGAUACUGACGCUGAGGUGCGAAAGCGUGGGGAGCAAACAGGAUUAGAAACCCUAGUAGUCC
rnacentral:rRNA from 1 species